rnacentral:ncRNA from 1 species
UUAGGUUUUUUAGAUUAAUAGGGAAAUCGGUGAAAGUCCGAUACAGCCCCCGCUACUGUAAGUGAGACGAAAUCAACUUAUGCCACUGAGUUCUUCUUGGGAAGGCGUUGAGAGUAGGAUGAACACAAGUCAGGAGACCUGCCUAAUAGUUU